UUCCUACGGGGGGCUGCAGUCGGGAAUUUUGGGCAAUGGGCGAAAGCCUGACCCAGCAACGCCGCGUGAAGGAUGAAGUAUUUCGGUAUGUAAACUUCGUAAGAAUAGGAAGAAUCAAUGACGGUACUAUUUGUAAGCUCCGGCUAACUACGUGCCAGCAGCCGCGGUAAUACGUAGGGGGCAAGCGUUGUUCGGAUUUACUGGGCGUAAAGGGCGCGUAGGCGGCGUGACAAGUCACUUGUGAAAUCUCCGGGCUUAACUCGGAACGGUCAAGUGAUACUGUUGUGCUAGAGUGCAGAAAGGGCAACUGGAAUUCUUGGUGUAGCGGUGAAAUGCGUAGAUAUCAAGAGGAACACCUGAGGCGAAGGCGAGUUGCUAGGCUGACACUGACGCUGAGGCGCGAAAGCUAGGGGAGCGAACGGGAUUAGAUACCCCGGUAGUC
rnacentral:rRNA from 1 species